CAAUAGCGUAUAUUAAUGUUGUUGCAGUUAAAAAGCUCGUAGUUGGAUUUCUGACAGGAGCGACCGGUCCGAGCCUUCGGGUUCGUGUACUUUGUGUUGUCUCUAGUCAUCCUUAUGGAGAGCGUGUCUUUCAUUAAUUUGUUGGGCAUGGGAUCCAUAUCGUUUACUGUGAAAAAAUUAGAGUGUUCAAAGCAGGCAAUCGCUGUGAAUAUAUUAGCAUGGAAUAAUAGGAUAGGACUUUGGUACUAUUUUGUUGGUUUGCAUACCAAGGUAAUGAUUAAGAGGGACAGUUGGGGGUAUUCGUAUUUAAUUGUCAGAGGUGAAAUUCUUGGAUUUAUGAAAGACGAACUACUGCGAAAGCAUUUGCCAAGGAUGUUUUCAUUGA
rnacentral:rRNA from 1 species